UAUCUAUAUCUGUGAGAGAGGACAUUUCCGCAGAAAGAAGUAGUGGCUGGAGAGAUAAAGUGCAGAGGGAGGAAUAGACUUUUCAUUCGACUCCCUUCUGUAUUGUUUGAACAUUUUUUUUUUAAAAUUUUUUUUUUUCAACAUUUUUUUAUUUAUUUUUUGGGGACAGAGACAGAGCAUGAACAGGAGAGGGGCAGAGAGAGAGGGAGACACAGAAUCGGAAACAGGCUCCAGGCUCCGAGCCAUCAGCCCAGAGCCUGACGCGGGGCUCGAACUCACGGACUGCAAGAUCGUGACCUGGCUGAAGUCGGACGCUUAACCGACUGCGCCACCCAGGCGCCCCUUGUUUGAACAUUUUUAAAAAGGCAGUAUAAGUAUUACCAGUACCUUUACUAUUUUCAAAAUUUAAUGUUUAUCAAAGUUAUAUAGGCACGUAAGUUAAAAAGUCCACACAUUCCAUAGUAUAUAAAGACAGCAAGCAGCCCCUGCAUAAGCCUCUCACUCCCUUCCCACUCUACAGAGUCAACUGUUUUAGCACCUUUUAGUGCUAAAACCUUUUAGCUGUUUCUUUCGGCAUUAACCUUGUAUUUCUAAAUCACAAGCAUACACUGUUGUUGCUUGAAUGGUUGGAAGUAUUGUUGAUUUACUUCCUACCAUUGAAAUCAAGGAUUUAGAACUCUCACACCCCUGUUUUCUCCUUUUUACUGGACAGUCCCGCAUUCGAUGUCCUUUUCAUGAGAUGGGGUCUUCACUUGGCUUUUGGGACACCAUUCUCUUGUGGCUCUUUUCCUGCCUCUCUAGCAGCUGCUUGUUGAUUCCUCCUUUUCCCAACCUAUAACAGUCAUGGGCCCUUCUCAGUUCAGUCCUAGGACCCCCUCUCUAUCUACACACACUUCCCAGAUAAUUUAUCCAGUCCCAUGGCAUCAACUAUCAGCGACAAACUGAUCCCACCCACAUUUACAUAUCCAGUCAUCUCUUCCCUGGCUCUCCUGAAUCCUGUAUCUCACUGCCUACUUACACCUCUGUUUAUCUUGUAAUGUCUCAAAUUACAGAACUCUUGAUGUCCUCCCAAACCUGUUCCUACCGCAUGUCCCCCUCUCAGUAAAUGGCAAUGCCAUCCUGUAAGAAGCUCAGGCCAAAAGCCUCAGAGUCACCCUUGC
rnacentral:lncRNA from 1 species